UACGGAGGGUGCGAGCGUUGUCCGGAAUCACUGGGCGUAAAGGGCGCGUAGGCGGCCUGGUAAGUAGGGGGUGAAAUCCUGCGGCUUAACCGCAGGGCUGCCUUCUAAACUGUCAGGCUAGAGCACGGUAGAGGCAGAUGGAAUUCCCGGUGUAGCGGUGGAAUGCGUAGAUAUGACACAGAACACCGAUUGCGAAGGCAGCUAGCUAAAGUAUGAUUGACGCUGAGGCACGAAAGCGUGGGGAGCAAACAGG
rnacentral:rRNA from 1 species